rnacentral:rRNA from 1 species
GACGUAGGGCGCGAGCGUUGUCCGGAUUUAUUGGGCGUAAAGAGCUCGUAGGCGGCUUGUCGCGUCGACUGUGAAAACCCGCGGCUCAACCGCGGGCCUGCAGCCGAUACGGGCAGGCUAGAGUUCGGUAGGGGAGACUGGAAUUCCUGGUGUAGCGGUGAAAUGCGCAGAUAUCAGGAAGAACACCCGUGGCGAAAGCGGCUCUCUGGAACGGUACUGACGCUGAGACGCGAAAGCGUGGGGAGCGAACAGG